rnacentral:tRNA from 1 species
GGCACUUUGGCGGAGUGGUUAACGCGAUGCCCUGCUACUGUAUAACAGAGUCAGGCAUUUCCCUCGGGAGCGUGUGUUCGAAUCACACAGGUGUCG